rnacentral:rRNA from 1 species
UACGGAGGGUGCGAGCGUUGUCCGGAAUCACUGGGCGUAAAGGGCGCGUAGGCGGCCUUCUAAGUCAGACGUGAAAUCCCCCGGCUUAACCUGGGAACUGCGUCUGAUACUGGAAGGCUUGAGUGCGGGAGAGGGAUGUGGAAUUCCAGGUGUAGCGGUGAAAUGCGUAGAUAUCUGGAGGAACACCGGUGGCGAAGGCGGCAUCCUGGACCGACACUGACGCUGAGGCGCGAAAGCUAGGGUAGCAAACGGG